rnacentral:misc_RNA from 1 species
GGCAAUAGACAGACAAUAUUAUACAAUUUUAAAUUAAUAGAUAAUUAAGAAAGGCCAAUGGAUUCUAGAAGGAUACAUUAAAUGAGAAUUUCUAACAUGGAAGCUGAUAUCAUAGAAUCUUGCCCACUGUUGACAAAUUCUAAGCCUGGGGGGUGGCUAAAGAACUCAGAAAUUUAAGGGGUGUGUGAGUAGAGGGAUCUAGUGAAAUACAGAUUAAAAGAUGCACCAAUUUUUAAGGAACUAAACAAAGAUAUGAUGAUUAUUUGCCAAUAAAUUCAAAAAAUUCAGUGCCAAGAUCCAUAAUAUAGCAUCAAUUUUGGACAAACAAAUCCAGAAACAGAAAGUCCACUAUUUGAAUUUCACAGUUAGAUAUCAUCCCUCAUAUGGUAUAUUAGGAAAUUGAUGUUAAAGA